AUAUGUUGAUAAAUUUUGAGAAAGACCUAUAAAUUACUAAUGGAAAUAAUAAAAUGUGUACAUAUAUUAUAAUUUAAUUAAAGAUUAUCAUGAUUAGAACAUGUGUGUGUACAUCCUUGUAUUUGUAUUUGUUUUUAUAUUUUAAAUUUUAAGUGUUGAUUAAAUAUCAACCUAAAUACACAAAAAAAUAAGAGUGCCCGCAGAAAUUUUAUCUUUAUUAACGAUUGAUUAAAUGGACUAUCAUUCGCAAAAAAGCAAAAUAAAUGGGCCAUUGAAAUAUCAUCUGAUCCAAAUACGAACGACUAACUUGAUGGCGGGCCUAAUUUAGAUUUUUCCCCUCUGGCCAAAAAAAAAAAAAGGAUGUUUUCCCGCCGAUGAGGAAAGCCAAGCCCGUUCCGUCACGCUUCGGCUUCACGCUCCCUUCACGCUUCGAUUUGAUUCACUGGGCAAAGCUUAGUGCGUUUUCCAUUCGGUGAAGUGAAGAAGCAUAUGCGUCGCAGAUGCUCCUCCUUCAAUCUGAUCGAUCUCGAUAUGCUUUCGUCUGCUUCUGCAAGGUACUCCUUCUCCUUCACCAAAUUUCCUCUCUUUGCUACUUGUACCUUCCUUCUCUCUUCCCCUUCUUCCCUCACCCUCAAAUGUCUACUUCAUUCUCAUUCCCUAAAUCCCAACAGCCUUAAUGACGCUGUUUCUACAGUCAAUCGCAUGCUCCACAUGCGUCCCCUGCCAUCUUGCCGCCAUAUCAAUAAGAUUUUAGGAUCUAUAGCGAAGAUGAAACAUUAUCCCCAGGUUAUCUCACUUCUUGCGCUAGCCGAGUUUAAGGGAUUCACACCAGAUUUAACUGGCCUGAACAUCUUGAUCAAUUGUUACUGCCACGUUGAGCAGAUGGAUUUUGCUUUCUCUAUAUUGGGGAAAAUUUUCAAGAUGGGUUAUCUACCAACUGUUGUAACUCUGACUACAUUAGUAAAAGGGCUGUGUUUUAAUCAAAAUGUUGGCAAAGCUCUAGAUUUUUAUGAUGACAUAGUGGCGAAAGGAUUUAAGUUAGAUGAAGUCACCUAUGGAAUAUUAACAAAUGGGCUAUGUAAAAUGGGAAAAACUCGAUCUGCCAUUAAAUUAUUGCAAAUGAUGGAGAAAAAUUUAGUCAAGCCUAAUGUCGUUGUCUACAGCACAAUCAUUGAUGCCCUUUGUAAAGACGGACUUGUCAAUGAUGCACACAAAUUGUAUUUGGAAAUGAUUGAUCAUGGGGUAUCUCCAAAUGUUGUUACUUAUAAUAGUCUUGUCCAUGGCUUUUGUCGCGUGGGUCAGUGGCAACAAGCAAAUGAAAUACUUGGUGAGAUGAUACCUAAAGACAUCCACCCGGAUAAUUAUACUUUCAGCAUUCUAGUUGAUGCCUUAUGUAAAGAUGGCAGGAUUAUUGAUGCUCAAGCUGUAUUUGCUAGGAUGGUGAAAAGUGAUCAGAGACCUGAUGUUGUUACGUAUAAUGCUUUAAUGGAUGGAUAUUGUUUGACCAAUAAUAUCAUUGAGGCUAGGGAAGUAUUUAACAGGAUGAUUGAAAAUGGUUUGGCACCUACCCUUUUUAGUUAUAAUAUUUUGAUCAAUGCAUCCUUUAAGAUGAAAAUGGUGGAUGAAGCCAUGGAUCUUUUCAAGGAAUUGCAUUCUAGAAAUUUGGUUCCUAAUGUUGUCACUUAUAACUGUGUUAUUGAUGGCUUGCUCAAAUCACAAAGAAUCUCUUGUGCACAGCAUAUUAUUUAUGAGAUGCAUGAGAGGGGUCUUCGUGCUGAUAUAAUCACGUAUAAUAUCUUAUUGGAUGCAUUUUGCAAAAAAGGACAUCUUGACAAGGCAGUUACAUUAUUUAAGCAAAUUGUCAAUCAAGGAUUUCAGCCUGACAAGAAGACCUACACUGUACUUAUUGAUGGUUUGUGUAAAGGUGGCAGAUUAAAUGUUGCUUGGGAGAUUUUUCAGUAUCUUUUGGCCAAAGGUUAUCAUCUAGAUGUCCAUGUAUAUACUGCUAUGAUUCAUGGAUUUUGUAAACAGGGUUUGCUUGAUGAAGCCAAGGCCUUGCUUGAUGGAAUGGAAGGAAACGGCUUACUCCCUAACUCUGUUACUUUUGAAAUCAUUAUUCGAUAUCUUCUUGAAAACAAUGAGAAUGACAAGGCAGGGAAACUUCUACAUAGAAUGAAGGAGAUAGAGGCCUCCUGAAGAAAUAAAGCAAGAGGAAAUUGCCUCGCAGCUGCUUCUUGUUUGCUUCUAGUUCAUUAUUAGAUGCCGCAGGUCUCUGUUACAUAUAGACAUCUAGUUUCAUCUGUACCUACCAAAUCCAGCGCUACCCAGCACUUCAUAUGUUAAGGUUUGCGGACAAGUGGCUCCAAAUCCGCCUUGGGAGAUAAAGAAAUGGGAGACACGCGCUUGGAUAGUAGUGUCUGCUCUUCUUGAGUAUGCUUCUGGAGCACCAGUUCAGUUAUCAUACAAGGAGCUUCAUCGUUCAAAUAAAGGGUUCAAAGAGAAGCUUGGUGAUUGUGGAUUUGGUGCUGUUUACAGUGAAAGAACUUGAGGGCAUUGAGCAAGGUGAGAAACAGUUCAGAAUGGAGGUUGCUACUAUAAUCCGCACUCAUCAUCUCAACUUGGUGAGGCUGAUUGGGUUUUGUUCUGAAGGAAAGCAUAGGCUUUUAGUUUACGAGUUCAUGAAAAUGGGUCUCUGGACCAAUUUCUUUUUGUCAAUGAACAUCAGUCUAAGAAAUUGUUGAAUUGGCAGUAUCGAUUCAGAAUUGCCCUGUGCACUGCGACGGCUAUCACUUACCUUCGUGAGGAGUGUAGAAACUACAUUGUCCACUGUGAUACAAAACCUGAAAAUAUUCUCUUAGGUAACAAUUAA